rnacentral:rRNA from 1 species
GAUGAACGCUGGCGGCGUGCUUAACACAUGCAAGUCGAACGGUGAAGGCGGAGCUUGCUCUGCUGGAUCAGUGGCGAACGGGUGAGUAACACGUGAGCAAUCUGCCCCUGACUCUGGGAUAAGCGCUGGAAACGGCGUCUAAUACUGGAUACGAGCUGCGAAGGCAUCUUCAGCAGCUGGAAAGAAUUUCGGUCAGGGAUGAGCUCGCGGCCUAUCAGCUUGUUGGUGAGGUAAUGGCUCACCAAGGCGUCGACGGGUAGCCGGCCUGAGAGGGUGACCGGCCACACUGGGACUGAGACACGGCCCAGACUCCUACGGGAGGCAGCAGUGGGGAAUAUUGCACAAUGGGCGAAAGCCUGAUGCAGCAACGCCGCGUGAGGGACGACGGCCUUCGGGUUGUAAACCUCUUUUAGCAGGGAAGAAGCGAAAGUGACGGUACCUGCAGAAAAAGCGCCGGCUAACUACGUG